GUAGGGAAUAUUGGGCAAUGGUCGGAAGACUGACCCAGCCAUGCCGCGUGCAGGAAGACGGCCCUCUGGGUUGUAAACUGCUUUUAUCUGGGAAGAAAAAGGCCAUGCGUGGCAAAUUGCCGGUACCAGAUGAAUAAGCACCGGCUAACUCCGUGCCAGCAGCCGCGGUAAUACGGAGGGUGCGAGCGUUGUCCGGAUUUAUUGGGUUUAAAGGGUGCGUAGGCGGCUGAUUAAGUCAGCGGUGAAAGACUUCGGCUUAACCGGAGCAGUGCCGUUGAUACUGGUUGGCUUGAGUGUCGGAGGGGUACAUGGAAUUGAUGGUGUAGCGGUGAAAUGCAUAGAUACCAUCAGGAACACCGAUAGCGAAGGCAUUGUACUGGCCGACAACUGACGCUGAUGCACGAAAGUGUGGGGAUCGGACAGGAUUAGAAACCCGGGUAGUCC
rnacentral:rRNA from 1 species